CCCCGUUACUCGCUCUGAACCGAAACUAGAUGUAGAGGGAGAAGUUUGAACUCCGAGUGGAGUAGAAGUAAAGAGAGUUUUUAACCUUCACACGUGCUGAUGAUGGUGUUGUGCCUCAGACAUGGAGUCCUGCAGGGUUCCUCACCAUGUCCUGCUUUUAUUCAUCUUCAUGUUCAUCACAGUAUCUGUAUCAGCUCUCACUACUGCACAGGUGAAGUUUAAUCAGACUGCUGAUCUGCCCUGUCUAUGGAAUUGUCAUGGUUUGGUUAUAUGGAAUGUGAUCAGUAACCGAGAUGAUGUAGUGGCUUGGUGUGAUCAGACAUCCUGCAGGUCAUUAAUGGAGGGAUUUAAAAUGUCCCAUGAUCAGUACCUGAAGGGAGAUCUCACCCUCACCAUCACUGCAGCUGAUUACAGUAAGAGGGGUUUAUACACGUGUGAAGGGUGGGGGAAUAGCGAUGUUUGUGAAUGAGAGAUGGUGUAACCCUGGACAUAUCAGGGUUAAAGAGCAACGGUGCAUUAAGGAUAUUGAGUUGCUAGCGGUUAGCAUGCGGCCAUAUUACUUGCCGAGGGAGUUCUUGCACGUCAUCGCGAUGACUGUCUACAGCCCCCCUCGGCUGACUCUACUGCGGCAUGUGAGCUACUUCACACUGUUGUGUCUCAGCUGCAGACAUUGCACCCACAGUCCCUCCUCAUCUCCGGGGACUUUAAUCAUGCUUCCCUGUCUUCAACUCUCCCCACCUUCACACAGUAUGUUAAAUGCCCCACUAGGGGCAAUAAAACAUUGGAUCUGCUGUAUGCAAACACAAAAGAUGCAUACAGUUCUUCACCCCCUCCCCCGCUUGGCUGCUCGGAUCACAACCAUCUGAUCCAUCUGCUGUCUGUCUACAUACCUCUGGUGAAUAAACAACCUCCAAUCACAAGGUAUGUGAGAAAAUGGCCUGAGGAAACCAGUGAGGCACUGAGAGACUGGAUUGAAUCUACAGACUGGGAAAUGCUCUGUAGUUCACACGGACAGGACACUGACAGUCUCACCCACUGUGUAAUGGACUACAUUCAUUUCUAUGUGGAGAACACUGUCUGUGAAGAAGGUUUGGUGUUUUUCCAACAACAAACCCUGGGUGACUCCAGAGCUCAAAGCCCUGUUAAAACAAAAAAAAAAAAAAGAGACUGUUCGUAUUGGGGGACAAAGAUGAGCUGAGGAGGGUUCAAAAACAGCUCAGAGGGGAGAUAAGGAAAGGAAAAGACAGCUACAGAAAAAAGUUGGAGGAGCGUCUUCAACAGAACAACAUGAGGGAGGUCUGGAGGGGACUGAAAACAAUUUCAGGUCAGAACAAAGACAAUGGGAGGGGACUUGUAUCCGGUGACGGGGCAAAUGAAUUCAAUCUGUUUUUUAAUAGAUUUGAAUCGGCUCCAUCUCCUCCCCACUCCGACCAGACCUCAGACCUGUCAGUGACUCAGCCUUUCCCUCUUGGGCCAUUAGGCACCCCCAACUCCUUCCGCAGGGCUCCAGGAAUAUCGGCAUCAUCCAACUCACACCUCAGAGCUUCUGUGAUAUCAUCAUUACACAGCUCACACCUCUCCACUGCUCACCAUCCCUCACUCAAGGAGGUUUCACACCCCUCCCCCAUACCGCUCAUCAGGGAUCACCAAUAACUCCCCCCUGCAGUCUCUCUCUGACACUCAAUCAGGGGAAUAAGGAGCUAAAGAAGAUCAAGAGGGCUAGCUCUGUCCUGGUCUACCCUCUGGACAGCAUAGAGGUGCUGGGGGAGAGGAGGAUGUUAGCUAAGAUGGCAUCUAUCAUGAGCAAUUCCUCUCACCUAGCAACCAGAGUGAGAUGCGCGAAUGUCACGACCUUGAUGAGGGGGCGCGCGCAUGCACGAGCUGUGGACGUGUGCAUUUGUUUUGUUUCUGUCACGUCGCGAGACGUAAGGAAGUAGAGUACAGAAGCAGAUAAAGACAUAUUUAUUUAAGGGCAGGCAGAAAAAUCCUAUAUCUACUCGACGAGGUGUACAGGGACGCGAGCGGUAUAUAUCCCCAAUAUAAUCAGCCCUAUAGAACCCAAUAGAACCAUUUUCUGCACUCGUCAAUGUACUUUUUAAUGCUCUUUUUAGUUGUAGGCUACAGAGUGUUCCAUUCUUUCAGCAGUCAGUUACAGGACUAACAUCGGCUAUUCAAGGGCUCAAAGAUGACCACAUCACAAUAUUUUUAUUUUACUCAUUUAUUUAUUUAAAGUUAUAUUGUGCCUUGUUGGUAGCCUGUGCCUGCUGAAUGAAAAAAAUGUUCAGUGUUAAAUAAAUAUUUUGAAAUUGUAGUUUUUGUAAUUGAUUUUUUUCUUUGAAAAGCAAGACAAAAUAGUAAAAAGCACAUUUUGACUAUUUAAUUUAUGCAAUGGUGAAAAAAAUGGCAAAAUAAAUGGAAAAAACGCGGAAAAAACGUGCUCGUAUUCGGCCUUCGGCUUUUGGACAAGUUUUUCUUUAUAUUCGGUAUCGGCUUCGGCCAAGAAUUUUCAUUUCGGUGCAUCCCAUAUAUAUAUAUAUAUAUAUAUAUAUAUAUAUAUUAUAUACUUUUGUUGCUAGUGGUUUAGACAUUAAUGUCUGUGUGUUGAGUUAUUUUGAGGGGACAGCAAAUUUACACUGUUACACAAGCUGUACACACACUACUUUACAUUGUAGCAAAGUGUCAUUUCUUCAGUGUUGUCACAUGAAAAGAUAUCAUCAAAUAUUUACAGAAAUGUGAGGGGUGUACUCGUAGGAAGUUGGCGCAUUCAUGUUGAUUCUUUUUUUCUCCUGGUUUUGGGUUAGCUAGGGAGUGAGGGAAUCUGAGAUGUAUUUUUCUUUUGUUUUCUUUUAGGAUUGUUAAUUUUUUUGUGUACAGUUAGAGGGAAAUUUUAUUUAUUAUUUUGGCUUGGCCGGCUUUUGACGUUUAAACCACUAUGUAUAUAAAAAAGGUGAGCAUAAAAAACAAAGCGAAUGCAAUCCUUGUCUCGCCAACCCUUUAUUUUAUUGUAUGUUGCGGCCCGACCUAGACCGGGUUGUAACAGGUGGUAUAAGGAUCCCUGCAUGUUUCUGUCUUUUCAAAACAAUGUGAAUACAUUUACAUUAUUAAAUUUUCAUUCCAGUUCUGUUUGACUCUCUCUUAAAUUAAAUCUAACUCCAAUUGUAAAAACCUCAAUGUUGUAUUUAAUUCCUAGUUAUUUGUAGAUCAUGUAUUUUUAAUCUUUUACAUUUAGUUAAUUCUAGUUUACUCCAUACUCGUGCUCGUUCAUUCGGAUUCCGUGUCGCUCAGAGUCUCGCGCCAGCUGUGUAAGCGGAUCUCACGGUCACAAACUCGCCAGUCUUGAUCAUUAGCCAGAGGUAAUUGACUAAUACAAUUCAGAUGGCUGCCCCACGCUUGCCCUUUUAUCUUAAAGUAAUUUUAGUCCCCUUAGAUAGUAACACUUAAUUAUAGUAAAGUUAUUUCUAGCCAGAGGUCAUGACCAUUAAAUUGUACAGCAAUAGACCAAUAAUAUCUGAGUAAAAUUAGCUAUAUAUAAUCAUGCUAUAGUUUCCUAUGUACACUUAACUAGAAGAAAAUUCCAAAAACCAGAGGUUUACACUUUCACCGUAUUUAGACUUGGUCGAUCAACUUUAUAUUGUCCUAAACGGAAAUUUCAUAUCGAGCCGGUACACUGUAAGUACACUUAGCUUAACAAGUUGUUAGGCUGGACUCUAAAAUCUCAGUUGGUGUGCCCCAAUGCUCCACCUAAACCUGGAUUUUAGCCUGUACUAACCUGGUCGCAGAUUUACAGUAACAGGGACUUAACGUAAUCUACUAGAGACAAUAAUUUCAGAAUAAUUCAGAUUAUAAUCAAGUCUAAUAAUUUAUUUAACCAGGUAGGAACACAUCCAAAUCCAAUAGUACUAACAAUAAUAAGAAGAAAGAAUUACAUUCAGCAUUACUCAACAUUACCAAUCAAAUUCAAGACAUAAUAAUACAACAUGAGAGACAACACUUACAUACCUGGUAGAGAAAAACUACACAUUAAUUGUGCUGGAGAUCUGUUUACAGAUUCCCUGAAUCUUUGCCCAGCUCUCCCCUAAAUACCCAGAUGCUCUGUAAGGUUCACCAAAUGGUGUUGUUCGUGCUUUGAUGACUGUGGAAAGAUGUACCUUAUUUACAUACAGGAAGUAGGGUAUGCCUUUAAAGACUUGCAAUAUUUUCCUCCAGAUCUUGAUAGUGAUUUGAACUGCUGUUGAGGGAAUGAGACCACAUCUUCCAGAUGCGCUGAGACCUUUUGAAUGAUGGUAAACAUGUAUAGUCAACAUCUUAUUCUCAUUAAACAUGUUAUGUAAUGCAUAUAGACCUUGGGUGUGUUAAAGGUGAUCUAGACACAGACAGAAAAGGGUGAGAGGAGGAAGGAAAUAAUGUAGUGAGGAUCCUGUACCCCUGUACCUGCCUCUGCCAGCGCAGGUAUCUACAGCACUACACCAGAAUCCACUGUGCAAGCAAGGAUUGUGUGUGUGUGUGUGUGUGUGUGUGUGUGUGUGUGUGUGUGUGUGUGUGUGUCAGAGUCAUGUCUCUACUCUCCAUGUCAUUCUUUGUUCUUAAUCUUUCCCACUGAAGUUAUUGUGAUUAGGUACCUGGUUAAUUCCUCACCUGUUCUCACCUGUGCAGUGCUGUUGGUGGUGUUUUGUCUCAGACAUGGAGUCCUGCAGGGUUCCUCACCAUGUCCUGCUUUUAUUCAUCUUCAUGUUCAUCACAGGAUUUUCUGGUAGAGAGCAGCAGAGCUGCAGACCCUGAAGCAGCAGAGCAUCCCCACACCAUCACACUUCCUCCACCAUGCUUAACUGUAGGUAUGAUGUUCUUUUUGUGGAAUUCUGUGUUUGGUUUAUGCCAGAUGUAACGGGACUCCUGUCUUCCAAACAGUUCCACUUUCGACUCGUCAGUCCACAGAACAUCCUCCCAAAAGGUUUGAGGAUCAUCAAGGUGUGUUUUGGCAAAAUUCAGACGAGCCUUAAUGUUCUUCCGGGUUAGCAGUGGUUUUCACCUCACCACUCUUCCAUGGAGCCGUUUUCCCCCAGUGUCUUUCUGAUAGUGGAGUCAUGAACACUGACCUUUACUGAUGCAAGAGAGGC